GGGGAUUUAGCUCAGUGGCAUAAGCGCCUGCCUUACAAGCAGGCGAUCCCCA
rnacentral:tRNA from 1 species